rnacentral:rRNA from 1 species
UACGGAGGGUGCAAGCGUUGUCCGGAAUCACUGGGCGUAAAGGGCGCGUAGGCGGCUCGGUAAGUAGGGGGUGAAAUCCUGCGGCUUAACCGCAGGGCUGCCUUCUAAACUGUCGAGCUCGAGCACGGUAGAGGCAGAUGGAAUUCCCGGUGUAGCGGUGGAAUGCGUAGAGAUCGGGAAGAACAUCAGUGGCGAAGGCGGUCUGCUGGGCCGUUGCUGACGCUGAGGCGCGACAGCGUGGGGAGCGAACAGG